rnacentral:rRNA from 1 species
UACAGAGGUCUCAAGCGUUGUUCGGAUUCAUUGGGCGUAAAGGGUGCGUAGGUGGCGCUGUAAGUCGGGUGUGAAAUUUCGGAGCUUAACUCCGAAACUGCAUUCGAUACUGCGGUGCUUGAGGACUGGAGAGGAGACUGGAAUUUACGGUGUAGCGGUGAAAUGCGUAGAUAUCAUAAGGAAGACCAGUGGCGAAGGCGGGUCUCUGGACAGUUCCUGACGCUGAGGCACGAAGGUCAGGGGAGCAAACGGG